rnacentral:rRNA from 1 species
GACGAACGCUGGCGGCGUGCCUAAUACAUGCAAGUAGAACGCUGAAGAGAGGAGCUUGCUCUUCUUGGAUGAGUUGCGAACGGGUGAGUAACGCGUAGGUAACCUGCCUGGUAGCGGGGGAUAACUAUUGGAAACGAUAGCUAAUACCGCAUAAAAUGGAUUAUCGCAUGAUAAUCCAUUGAAAGGUGCAAAUGCAUCACUACCAGAUGGACCUGCGUUGUAUUAGCUAGUUGGUGGGGUAACGGCUCACCAAGGCGACGAUACAUAGCCGACCUGAGAGGGUGGUCGGCCACACUGGGACUGGGACACGGCCCAGACUCCUACGGGAGGCAGCAGUAGGGAAUCUUCGGCAAUGGACGGAAGUCUGACCGAGCAACGCCGCGUGAGUGAAGAAGGUUUUCGGAUCGUAAAGCUCUGUUGUAAGAGAAGAACGAGUGUGAGAGUGGAAAGUUCACACUGUGACGGUAUCUUACCAGAAAGGGACGGCUAACUACGUG